CCCCCUUUUUUGCACCUAAUUCCUAAACGGUUUGAGCCAUAACCCCCCAAAGCAAAUCCUAACCAUCCCUUUGUGGUAUGGAAACUUGUAGUAUAAUUUCAGAGAGAUCCAUACACCGUUCCACAGUUAUUGUCUGGAAACUAGAAAAUGCUUAUUUUUGGCCCCUUUUUGGCCCCUAAUUCCUUAACUGUUGGUACCAUAACCCCAAAAUCAAUCCCAACCUUCCUUUUGUGGUAUUUAACCUUAUGGUAAAAUUUCAAAAAGAUCCAUUCACUUAAACUAAAGUUAGAGUGCGAAAACCAAUGUGUCUUCGGACGCCAACGUCAUACCAAUAUACGACCACAAAAUUUUUUUGCGGUCGUAUAAAAAUUGAAUCAUAAUUUCCUGUCAACAUGCACAUCUACAUAGUAUGUCCUUAUUAUCUGAAAAGGUUUCAUGAAAUUCUGUUGUGUGGUUUGAGAGGAGUUGCGAUGACAAAAGGUUGCAGUAGUAUAUUGGGCAAAUAAGUUCAAAGGGGCGUCACUCCUGGAAAAAAAAUUGAAUCGUAAUUUCCUGUCGAUAUGCACAUCUACUUAGUAUGUCCUUAUUAUCUGAAAAGGUUUCAUGAAAUUCUGUUGUGUGGUAUGAGAGGAGUUGCAAUGACAAAAGGUUGCAGUAGUAUAUUGGGCAAAUAAGUUCAAAGGGGCGUAACUCCUGGAAAAAAAAUUGAAUCGUAAUUUCCUGUUGAUAUGCACAUCUACGUAGUAUGUCCUUAUUAUCUACACAGUUUUCUGAAAUUCUGUUGUGUGGUUUGAGAGGAGUUGCGAUGACAAAAGGUUGCAGUAGUAUAUUGGGCAAAUAAGUUCAAAGGGGCAUAUCUCCUGGAAAAAAAUUGAAUCGUAAUUUCCUGUCGAUAUGCACAUCUACAUAGUAUGCCCUUAUUAUCUGAAAAGGUUUCAUGAAAUUCUGUUGUGUGGUUUGAGAGGAGUUGAGAUGACAAAAGGUUGCAGUAGUAUAUUGGGCAAAUAAGUUCAAAGGGGCGUAAUCCUGGAAAAAAAAUUGAAUCGUAAUUUCCUGUCGAUAUGCACAUCUACGUAGUAUGUCCUUAUUAUCUGAAAAGGUUUCAUGAAAUUCUGUAGUGUGGUUUGAGAGGAGUUGCGAUGACAAACUGUUGCAGUAGUACAUUAAAGUAAAUAAGUUCAAAGGGGCAUAACUCCUAGAAAAAGAAUUGAAUCGUAAUUUCCUGUCGAUAUGCACAACUACAUAGUAUUUCCUUAUUAUCUAAAAAGGUUUCGUGAAAUUCUGUUGUGUGGUUUGAGAGGAGUUGCGAUGACAAAAGGUUGCAGUAGUAUAUUGGGCAAAUAAGUCCAAAGGGGCGUAACUCCUGGAAAAAAAAUUGAAUCGUAAUUUCCUGUCGAUAUGCACAUCUACGUAGUAUGUCCUUAUUAUCUGAAAAGGUUUCAUGAAAUUCUGUAGUGUGGUUUGAGAGGAGUUGAGAUGACAAACUUGCAGUAGUACAUUAAAGUAAAUAAGCUCAAAGGGGCGUAACUCCUAGAAAAAGAAUUGAAUCGUAAUUUCCUGUCGAUAUGCACAACAACAUAGUAUGUCCUUAUUAUCUAAAAAGGUUUCGUGAAAUUCUGUUGUGUGGUUUGAGAGGAGUUGCGAUGACAAGAAACGGGACUG